CAGUCGCCACGGUAAUACAGAGGGUGCGAGCGUUAAUCGGAUUUACUGGGCGUAAAGCGUGCGUAGGCGGCUUUUUGAGUCGGAUGUGAAAUCCCUGAGCUUAACUUAGGAAUUGCAUUCGAUACUGGGAAGCUAGAGUAUGGGAGAGGAUGGUAGAAUUCCAGGUGUAGCGGUGAAAUGCGUAGAGAUCUGGAGGAAUACCGAUGGCGAAGGCAGCCAUCUGGCCUAAUACUGACGCUGAGGUACGAAAGCAUGGGGAGCAAACAGGAUUAGAUACCCCAGUAGUCCCUGUCUCUUAUAU
rnacentral:rRNA from 1 species